UCUAACUCUUUUUAACAUAUCAAAGAUUAGGGUUUUGCGGUACGGAUGCAAACUUUUCCCAUUUUCCUCUAAGUCAAUUUAACCUUGUGACAUUGCUGAUGAUGAUAUAAUCCAAUUUGUUGAGGUGUUGUGAAGCCAAGCCCCUGUCUUCAGGGAGAACCUACUUGGCGAAGCUCCAUUCAUAUGACAUUAAUGGAUUUAACUGAGGCAAAAAUAUGCAUUUAGAACAUGAUAUCUUAAGCCGUCUGUAUGUAUUGUUUAUUUCGACCUUAGAAGUUAUAAACCAUUUUUAUUUGUGAGUUUUACUAUACUCUGAAUCAUCUGGAUUUUCAGUGUCUGAAAAACUCAAAUAUUGUUUGUGUUAGCUUCAUCUCUUGUUUGAACGACGAGUUGGGAGUUAAAUAACAACACUAAAUCAUUCAAGUAUAUUGAAUUAGCAAUGUGCUAUAUAUCAGAUAUUUGAGUCACAUCCAUGCUAA